GGAUUAGAUACCCUGGUAGUCCACGCCGUAAACGAUGGAUACUAGCUGUUUAUUAUUCUUUCGGGGAUAAUAAGUGGCCAAGCGAAAGUGAUAAGUAUCCCACCUGGGGAGUACGUUCGCAAGAAUGAAACUCAAAGGAAUUGACGGGGGCCCGCACAAGCGGUGGAGCAUGUGGUUUAAUUCGAUGAUACGCGAGGAACCUUACCAAGGCUUAAAUGCAAUUCGCAUAGAGUGGAAACACUUUAGUCUAUUAGACGGAUUGCAAGGUGCUGCAUGGUUGUCGUCAGCUCGUGCUG
rnacentral:rRNA from 1 species